rnacentral:lncRNA from 1 species
UUUGCUAUGGCAAAUACUAUUCUUUUUUCUUUUUUUUUUUUCACAACUUUUUUUACUUAAAUAAUUAAUUUGGAUAAUAUUUUUGGAUAAGAUUUUUGGGUUCCUACGUGUCAAUACUAUUCAUAUUGGAUAAUAUUUUCGGAUAAGAUUUUAUUUUAUUAGUUGUAUUGGUUGGUAUUUAUAGAGAAAAAAAAAGUAUGAGGAUUUGGUGUUAAAAGUGAAGAGUAUUGGUUGGUAUUUAUAGACACUAGAAGACCCAUAAUUUUUUUAGUGGAGGUGCAAUAUAUAUAUAUAUAUAUAUAUAUUGAUGAAGAAAAGAGGGUAAAACCCCAAACACCAACACAACUAACUAUUACUUAAUCAGACAAGCCUUAACAGCUCCCAGAGAAUCAUUAAGAAAUAAACAACCAAGCCACGCAGGACUCUCCUCAAAAUAGUAACAGCCCAGGUCCAGAUUGUGACUCCAAGUAGCU